rnacentral:rRNA from 1 species
UACAGAGGUGGCGAGCGUUGUUCGGAUUUACUGGGCGUAAAGGGUGCGUAGGCGGUUCCGCAUGUCGGGUGUGAAAUCCCACGGAUCAUCUGUGGAAUGGCAUUCGAAACUGCGGGGCUAGAGUGCAGGAGAGGAGGGCGGAAUUCUCGGUGUAGCGGUGAAAUGCGUUGAUAUCGAGAAGAACGCCGGUGGCGAAGGCGGCCCUCUGGACUGCAACUGACGCUGAGGCACGAAAGCUAGGGGAGCAAAC